CGAACGCUGGAGGUAUGCCUCAUACAUGCAAGUCGUACGGGGUUGAGAGAGCUUGCUUUUUCAACCUAGUGGCGCACGGGUGAGUAACGCGUGGGUAACCUGCCUUAAAGUCUGGGAUAACAUUGGGAAACCAAUGCUAAUACUGGAUAACCCCGAAUUUCGUAUGAAGUCCGGGUGAAAGCUGCACUCUAUUUAUAAGGUAGCGCUUUUCGAGGGGCCCGCGUCCUAUUAGUUAGUUGGUAGGGUAAUGGCCUACCAAGACAGAGAUGGGUAGCCGGCUUGAGAGAGUGAUCGGCCACACUGGAACUGAGACACGGUCCAGACUCCUACGGGAGGCAGCAGUAGGGAAUAUUCCGCAAUGGGCGAAAGCCUGACGGAGCAAUACCUCGUGAGUGAAGAAGGCUUUAGGGUCGUAAAGCUCAGUCAGCAGGGAAGAAGGUCUUGUAUGAGAAUAUUGUACAGGAAUUGACGGUACCUGCAGAGGAAGCCACGGCUAAUUAC
rnacentral:rRNA from 1 species